CGGCACUAAUGCCGCGGGGGGCCCAGGCACGCUUCCAUGGCCUGGCGCAGUGUGGGAACCGCAGGCCAGCGUAAACCCACCGCGCAGCCAGGAGGAGCGUGCGGGGACCUGGCGGGGAGGCCGGCUAAGGCCUCCCCCACCCCCAGCCGAGGCCAGACUCCCAGCAGACCCUCCCAGGGCAUCUCCCCGCCCAAUGAUGCCAGUGCUGCCACCUGAGCUUUGGGGGAUCCAGCUGUGCCCAGGGGCGAGCACCAGGCCUCCAUGGUGUCUGUGUCUUCCCAGGAACACUUUCACACGUAAACCACUGAGAAGACAUCCAAAGAAGAAAAAUAUUUUGCGACAUGUGAAAAUAAGAUGAGACUCAAAUGGAGCGUUUGUGAAUAAAAUGUCACGGGAGCAGACCAGGCACACCCCUUCGCUGUUGAGGGGGCUACUUUCCUGGUACGAGGCAAAGGGAGUUGUAAGAAAUGUGACAGAAAGACCCUGCAUGUCCUUUGCCUGGUUUCCCCUGUGGCUGACAUCUUACAGAACUGUGGCUUGGGUUUAUGGGGACGUGGUCAAGAUAGCACCUUAUCAACAUAAGGACCCCUCCUGCUUUCUCUUAAAAGCUUUUUGAUUCAUUUUAAGACAACUGUUGUGAAAUACACGAGAUGUGCCAUGCUAGCCGUCGGCGAGUGCACAGCCCAGCGGCACGACGCACCUUCACACCAUUGUGCACACGUCCCCAUCAACCAUCUCCAGAACUUUCCGACUUCUGAGACUGAUGCUCUGCCCCAUGAAACGCUGCCCCCUUUCCUCCCCAAUCCCUGGCGCCUGCUCUCUCUAGAAACGUGAGGACUCUAGGUCCAUCGUGCCAGUGGAUUCAGAGGGAAUUUGUCCUCUCGUGACCAGCCUGGCUCCCUGGGCAUGCGGGCCUCAAAGUCAACAGUGCUGCCAUACCCGUCAGAACUUCAGCAGUGGUCCAUCGUGCGGGUAACACACGCAUUCAUCUCUUCAUCUGUGGUGGACACCUGGGCCGCAUCCACCCUUUCGUUGCCGUAAAUAGAGCUGCCGUGAGCACCGAUGAGCGAGGCUUGGAGUUGGCCUCUGAGGGCAGGCCCUGGGCCCGAAU
rnacentral:lncRNA from 1 species